rnacentral:rRNA from 1 species
GAUGAACGCUGGCGGCGUGCCUAAUACAUGCAAGUCGAGCGAACAGACGAGGCGCUUGCUCCUCUGCCGUUAGCGGCGGACGGGUGAGUCACACGUGGAUACCCUACCUAUAAGACUGGGAUCACUUCGGGAACCCGGAGCUCGUACCGGAUCAUAUAUUGAACCGCAUGGUUCAAUAGUGCAAGCCCUUUUUGCUGUGCCUUAUAGAUAGUUCCGCGUCGGAUUAGCUAGUUGGUAAGGUAACGGCUUACCAAGGCUACGAUGCGUAGCCGACCUGAGAGGGUGAUCAGCCACACUGGAACUGAGACACGGUCCAGACUCCUACGGGAGGCAGCAGUAGGGAAUAUUGGACAAUGGGCGAAAGCCUGACGGAGCAACGCCGCGUGAGUGAAGAAGGUCUUCGGAUCGUAAAGCUCUGUUAGUAGGGAAGAACAGCAGUGUAAGAAACCAUGCACGUCUUGACGGUACCAAAACAGAAAGCCACGGCUAACUACGUG